rnacentral:misc_RNA from 1 species
GAUGAAGAACGUAGCGAAAUGCGAUAAGUAAUGUGAAUUGCAGAAUUCAGUGAAUCAUCGAGUCUUUGAACGCACAUUGCGCCCGGUAGUAUUCUGCCGGGCAUGCCUGUUCGAGCGUCAUUUCAACCAUCAAGCCCCAGCGCUUGUGUUGGGGGCCUGCGGCUGCCGCAGCCCCCUAAAAGCAGUGGCGGGCUCGCUAUCACACCGAGUGCAGUAGUUCAUCUUCUCUCCGGUCUUGUGAGGCGGGUUCCGGCCGUGAAACACCCCACUACAUUCAAGGUUGACCUCGGAUCAGGUAGGAAUACCCGCUGAACUUAAGCAUAUCAAUAAGCGGAGGA